ACGUAGGUGGCAAGCGUUAUCCGGAAUUACUGGGCGUAAAGCGCACGCAGGUGGCUGCUUAAGUCUGACGUGAAAGCUCCUGGCUUAACUGGGAGAGGUCGUUGGAGACUGGGCGGCUUGAGGCGAGGAGAGGGGUGUAGAAUUCCCGGUGUAGUGGUGGAAUGCGUAGAGAUCGGGAGGAAUACCAGUGGCGAAAGCGGCACCCUGGCCUUGGCCUGACGCUCAAGUGCGAAAGCGUGGGGAGCGAACGG
rnacentral:rRNA from 1 species